UCUACGGGAGGCAGCAGUGAGGAAUAUUGGUCAAUGGGCGGAAGCCUGAACCAGCCACGCCGCGUGCAGGACGACGGCCCUACGGGUUGUAAACUGCUUUUCCCCGGGAAGGAUAAGCCCCUCGUGAGGGGUGAUGCCGGUACCGGGGGAAUAAGGAUCGGCUAACUCCGUGCCAGCAGCCGCGGUAAUA
rnacentral:rRNA from 1 species